rnacentral:rRNA from 1 species
UGGGGAAUAUUUCACAAUGGGCGCAAGCCUGAUGCAGCCACGCCGCGGGAACGAUGAAGGUCUUGGGAUCGUAAAGUUCUGUUGCAGGGGAAGAUAAUGACGGUACCCUGUGAGGAAGCCCCGGCUAACUACGUGCCAGCAGCCGCGGUAAUACGUAGGGGGCUAGCGUUAUCCGGAUUUACUGGGCGUAAAGGGUGCGUAGGUGGUCUUUCAAGUCGGUGGUUAAAGGCUACGGCUAAACCGUAGUUAGCCUCCGAAACUGGAAGACUUAAGGGCAGGAGAGGAAAGUGGAAUUCCCAGUGUGGCGGUGAAAUGCGUAGAUAUUGGGAGGAACACCAGUAGCGAAGGCGGCUUUCUGGACUGCAACUGACACUGAGGCACGAAAGCGUGGGUAGCAAACAGG